UGCUCUAUUUGAAAUUUUCUGACAAAGCCGCCAUCUUUGUGCUGCAGGAAAGCCGUUUGAGAUAUUGGUGAAUUUCAAACACUUUGUGAGAUGACAGAAUAUUGCUGAAGGAUCCUACAUGGAAGCUGUCUGAUUACACGGAGUGAUUCCUCUGGUGUGGUGUACCUCAGAGAAAUAAACACUGUUGCAAGAGCUGAGAAGAUGGCCAAGAUAUCCUUAUUGCUGGAUGGUAGCUCUGGUCGUAGUGGACCAUAUCUGCAAAUGCUUCUGAACAUUGACAGAAUUUCUAAAGAUGACUGAGAACAUUACUGAAGGAUCCUACAUGGAAGCUGUCUGAUUACACUGAGUGAUUCCUCUGGUGUGGUGUACCUCAGAGAAAAUAAACACUGUUGCAAGAGGUCACUGCUACUGCAGCAGAUGUCGCAAGUCUUUCUCUGCCCAACGCCCCAAGGCUGUUUGCACUUGGUUCAUUCUCAGAAUAAACCCAGAGGGCUCCAAAUGCCAGGCCAAGUCCAUCACCAGCAAGAAGACCGGUAAAAAGGUGCAAAGGAAGAGCAGCAGUGUCAACCCUAUUGUUGCUUCAUUCAUCAGGGAACUUGUUGAUUUUGACUGGCUGAAUUAUUAAUGCUUGACCUUUUGAAGUUCCAAUCACUUGUUUCUUUUAAGUAGUUCAGUCCGAGCAUUGCACCAAAGGCUCGAGGCCCUGUUGUUCUUGCUGUGUUUUCCCCCCUUCUCCCCGUUUCAAAACUUAUUUGGCACAGUUUUUCGAUAUUGUGUCAUGUAUAAGACUUUUAAAAGAGUGACUCUAUUGCGCACCCUAGCACAGAGAUGUUCGGGGCUGGAAUAUAGUUAUAGUUAUAGAAUAUAGUUGAAGCUACGGACUCUGGACCUUCUUUGUGGUAUGUACUUAUCUCAUUAAGAUGAACAAAAAAAGGUCAAUACGAGCAUAUGGCCACGCCCAACAGGAAAUGAGAUAUUGGACUGUUUUCCAUUUUGCAUACAUUGGAAUUUGAAGCACCCACCACAAACCAUACAACAGUUUUGUCUUGGUUAAUGUUUGGGGUAUCUCAUUUUAAUAGAAUAGAAUCUUUUUAUUUGUCAAUGUGAAUGAAAUAAAAAAAGAAAAAUAUGUAUACAACUGAAGAGUUCAGAUGCAAAACCCCCUAACUCCAUUUCUGAAGACCUGCACUUUUAUAUUUUUAGAGAACCCCAUUGUUGGUUUGGUUUACAUUCAUGUACUUGAUAAUACAUAUGAAUAGUUAUAUUACAUAAAUAAAAUUUAAAAAAUGUGGAAUUUUGAUAGCUUUGUAUUAAAUAGAAAUGAAACAAGAUUAUUUUCUGAAAUGGCACUUAUGGGGUUUUGCAUCUAAACUCUUCAACUAUAUACAAAGGUUAUGGAUUGUGCAUUUGUGAGAAGCAGGACCCCCUUCCUACUGGAGUAUGUUGUUAAAUUGUUAACCAGUUUUAAUUAAACAUUUUGAUUGCA